UACGUAGGGCGCGAGCGUUGUCCGGAAUUAUUGGGCGUAAAGAGCUCGUAGGCGGUCUGUCGCGUCGGAUGUGAAAAUCCAGGGCUCAACCCUGGACCUGCAUUCGAUACGGGCAGACUAGAGUUCGGUAGGGGAGACUGGAAUUCCUGGUGUAGCGGUGAAAUGCGCAGAUAUCAGGAGGAACACCGGUGGCGAAGGCGGGUCUCUGGGCCGAAACUGACGCUGAGGAGCGAAAGCGUGGGGAGCAAACAGG
rnacentral:rRNA from 1 species